rnacentral:rRNA from 1 species
CUACGGGUUGCUGCAGUGGGGAAUAUUGCACAAUGGGCGCAAGCCUGAUGCAGCCAUGCCGCGUGUGUGAAGAAGGCCUUCGGGUUGUAAAGUACUUUCAGCGGGGAGGAAGGGAGUAAAGUUAAUACCUUUGCUCAUUGACGUUACCCGCAGAAGAAGCACCGGCUAACUCCGUGCCAGCAGCCGCGGUAAUACGGAGGGUGCAAGCGUUUAUCGGAAUUACUGGGCGUAAAGCGCACGCAGGCGGUUUGUUAAGUCAGAUGUGAAAUCCCCGGGCUCAACCUGGGAACUGCAUCUGAUACUGGCAAGCUUGAGUCUCGUAGAGGGGGGUAGAAUUCCAGGUGUAGCGGUGAAAUGCGUAGAGAUCUGGAGGAAUACCGGUGGCGAAGGCGGCCCCCUGGACGAAGACUGACGCUCAGGUGCGAAAGCGUGGGGAGCAAACAGGAUUAGAUACCCUGGUAGUC